GACGAACGCUGGCGGCGUGCUUAACACAUGCAAGUCGAACGGAAAGGCCCUGCUUUUGUGGGGUGCUCGAGUGGCGAACGGGUGAGUAACACGUGAGUAACCUGCCCUUGACUUUGGGAUAACUUCAGGAAACUGGGGCUAAUACCGGAUAGGAGCUCCUGCUGCAUGGUGGGGGUUGGAAAGUUUCGGCGGUUGGGGAUGGACUCGCGGCUUAUCAGCUUGUUGGUGGGGUAGUGGCAUACCAAGGCUUUGACGGGUCGCCGGCAUGAGAGGGUGACCGGCCACAAUGGGACUGAGAGACGGCCCAGACUCCUACGGGAGGCAGCAGUGGGGAAUAUGGCACAAUGGGCGGAAGCCUGAUGCAGCAACGCCGCGUGCGGGAUGACGGCCUUCGGGUUGUAAACCGCUUUCGCCUGUGACGAAGCGUGAGUGACGGUAAUGGGUAAAGAAGCACCGGCUAACUACGUG
rnacentral:rRNA from 1 species